AGGACGAACGCUGGCGGCGUGCUUAACACAUGCAAGUCGAGCGGAAAGGCCCUUCGGGGUACUCGAGCGGCGAACGGGUGAGUAACACGUGAGCAACCUGCCCUUAGCUCCGGGAUAGCUCCGGGAAACCGGAAUUAAUACCGGAUACAACCACGGCCGACAUCUGCUGUGGUGGAAAGGAUUCCGGCUAAGGAUGGGCUCGCGGCCUAUCAGCUAGUUGGUGGAGUAACGGCCCACCAAGGCGACGACGGGUAGCCGGCCUGAGAGGGCGACCGGCCACACUGGGACUGAGACACGGCCCAGACUCCUACGGGAGGCAGCAGUGGGGAAUAUUGCGCAAUGGGCGAAAGCCUGACGCAGCGACGCCGCGUGGGGGAUGAAGGCCUUCGGGUUGUAAACCCCUUUCAGCAGGGACGAAGCGAAAGUGACGGUACCUGCAGAAGAAGCGCCGGCUAACUACGUGCCAGCAGCCGC
rnacentral:rRNA from 1 species